ACUUAAGCAUAUCAAUAAGCGGAGGAAAAGAAACCAACAGGGAUUGCCUCAGUAACGGCGAGUGAAGCGGCAACAGCUCAAAUUUGAAAUCUGACCCCUUCGGGGCCCGAGUUGUAAUUUGUAGAGGAUGCUUCGGGUGCGGCGCCGGUCUAAGUUCCUUGGAACAGGACGUCAUAGAGGGUGAGAAUCCCGUAUGCGACCGGCGGCCAACCCCGUGUGAAGCCCCUUCGACGAGUCGAGUUGUUUGGGAAUGCAGCUCAAAAUGGGUGGUAAAUUUCAUCUAAAGCUAAAUACCGGCCAGAGACCGAUAGCGCACAAGUAGAGUGAUCGAAAGAUGAAAAGCACUUUGGAAAGAGAGUCAAACAGUACGUGAAAUUGUUGAAAGGGAAGCGCUUGCAACCAGACCUGCCCGCGGGCGAUCAGCCGUUAUUCUUAGCGGUGCACUCGUCCGCGAUCAGGCCAGCAUCGGUUCGGGCGGCCGGAUAAAGGCCUCGGGAAUGUAGCUCCCCCCGGGGAGUCUUAUAGCCCGGGGUGCAAUGCGGCCAGCCCGGACCGAGGACCGCGCUUCGGCUAGGAUGCUGGCGUAAUGGUUGUAAGCGACCCGUCUUGAAACACGGACC
rnacentral:rRNA from 2 species